GAUGAACGCUGGCGGCGUGCUUAACACAUGCAAGUCGAACGGAAAGGCUCCUGCUUGCAGGGGUACUCGAGUGGCGAACGGGUGAGUAACACGUGGGUGAUCUGCCCUGCACUUCGGGAUAAGCCUGGGAAACUGGGUCUAAUACCGGAUAGGACGAUGGUUUGGAUGCCAUUGUGGAAAGUUUUUCGGUGUGGGAUGAGCUCGCGGCCUAUCAGCUUGUUGGUGGGGUAAUGGCCUACCAAGGCGUCGACGGGUAGCCGGCCUGAGAGGGUGUACGGCCAGGUUGGGGCUGAGGUGGGGGGCAGAGUGGUGCGGGAGGGAGCGGGGGGGAGGGUGGGGGGAUGGGGGGGGGGGUGGUGCGGGGGGGCCGGGUGGGGGAUGACGGCCUUCGGGUUGUAAACUGCUUUCGCUGGGGGCGAAGCGCAAGUGACGGUACCUGGAGAAGAAGCACCGGCUAACUACGUG
rnacentral:rRNA from 1 species